UACGAAGGGGGCUAGCGUUGCUCGGAAUCACUGGGCGUAAAGCGCACGUAGGCGGACUCUUAAGUCGGUGGUGAAAUCCUGGAGCUCAACUCCAGAACUGCCUUCGAUACUGGGAGUCUCGAGUCCGGGAGAGGUGAGUGGAACUGCGAGUGUAGAGGUGAAAUUCGUAGAUAUUCGCAAGAACACCAGUGGCGAAGGCGGCUCACUGGCCCGGUACUGACGCUGAGGUGUGAAAGCGUGGGGAGCAAACAGG
rnacentral:rRNA from 1 species